GAUAUGAAACUGAGUAUUUAUUUAAGAAGUUAUACAGCACUGGCUUUUUCAGUAAUACAGUGGAAGGAGAUUUAAUUUUCCAAACUGCGUGCAUACCUGAGUUUUUUGAACUCUCUUAAAUGAGUCAAAGUAAUGCAUUCCAACAAUUACAAUUCUUGGGUUAAAACUUAGGAUCCUUUAUGACAGGAGAAAUACCCUGGUGAUGCUAUGGGGACUCUUGGCGGGGGAGGAGCAGGAAGUUAACAGCAGCCAAGCUGGCUCCCAGAUGCUGAGCAGGGAACUGAAGGGGGAGGAGUUGACCUUUGUGACCCU
rnacentral:lncRNA from 1 species